rnacentral:rRNA from 1 species
CGUAGGGUGCGAGCGUUAAUCGGAAUUACUGGGCGUAAAGCGUGCGCAGGCGGUUUGUUAAGAUAGGCGUGAAAUCCCCGGGCUCAACCUGGGAACUGCGCUUAUGACUGGCAAGCUAGAGUACGGCAGAGGGGGGUGGAAUUCCACGUGUAGCAGUGAAAUGCGUAGAGAUGUGGAGGAACACCAAUGGCGAAGGCAGCCCCCUGGGUCGAUACUGACGCUCAUGCACGAAAGCGUGGGUAGCAAACAGGAUUAGAUACCCUGGUAGUCCACGCCCUAAACGAUGUCAACUAGGUGUUGGGAGGGUAAAACCUUUUAGUACCGGAGCUAACGCGUGAGGUUGACCGCCUGGGGAGUACGGCCGCAAGGUUA